rnacentral:rRNA from 1 species
AUUGAACGCUGGCGGCAGGCCUAACACAUGCAAGUCGAACGAGUGGCGGACGGGUGAGUAAUGUCUGGGAAACUGCCUGAUGGAGGGGGAUAACUACUGGAAACGGUAGCUAAUACCGCAUACCAUCGGAUGUGCCCCGAUGGGAUUAGCUAGUAGGUGGGGUAAAGGCUCACAUGGGCGACGAUCCCUCGCUGGUCUGAGAGGAUGACCAGCCACACUGGAACUGAGACACGGUCCAGACUCCUACGUGAGGCAGCAGGGGGGAAUAUUGGACAAUGGGCGCAAGCCGGAUGCAGCCAUGCCGCGUGUAUGAAGAAGGCCUUCGGGUUGUAAAGUACUUUCAGCGGGGAGGCGUUACCCGCAGAAGAAGCACCGGCUAACUCCGUGCCAGCAGCCGCGGUAAUAC